UGGGGAAUAUUGGACAAUGGGCGGAAGCCUGAUCCAGCCAUGCCGCGUGUGUGAAGAAGGCCUUUUGGUUGUAAAGCACUUUAAGCGAGGAGGAGGCUACUUGGAUUAAUACUCUAGGAUAGUGGACGUUACUCGCAGAAUAAGCACCGGCUAACUCUGUGCCAGCAGCCGCGGUAGUACAGAGGGUGCGAGCGUUAAUCGGAUUUACUGGGCGUAAAGCGUGCGUAGGCGGCUUCUUAAGUCGGAUGUGAAAUCCCUGAGCUUAACUUAGGAAUUGCAUUCGAUACUGGGAAGCUAGAGUAUGGGAGAGGAUGGUAGAAUUCCAGGUGUAGCGGUGAAAUGCGUAGAGAUCUGGAGGAAUACCGAUGGCGAAGGCAGCCAUCUGGCCUAAUACUGACGCUGAGGUACGAAAGCAUGGGGAGCAAACAGG
rnacentral:rRNA from 1 species